rnacentral:rRNA from 1 species
CCUACGGGAGGCAGCAGUGAGGAAUAUUGGGCAAUGGGGGCAACCCUGACCCAGCCAUGCCGCGUGAGUGAAGAAGGUCUUCGGAUUGUAAAGCUCUUUCGGACGUGACGAUGAUGACGGUAGCGUCUAAAGAAGCACCGGCAAACUUCGUGCCAGCAGCCGCGGUAAUACGAAGGGUGCGAGCGUUGUUCGGAAUUAUUGGGUUUAAAGGGUGCGUAGGCGGGAGAUCAAGUCAGCGGUAAAAUGUCGGGGCUCAACCCCGGCCGGCCGUUGAAACUGGUUUUCUAGAGUUGGAGAGAAGUAUGCGGAAUUCGUGGUGUAGCGGUGAAAUGCAUAGAUAUCACGAAGAACUCCGAUUGCGAAGGCAGCAUACCGGCUCCAUACUGACGCUGAGGCACGAAAGCGUGGGGAUCGAACAGGAUUAGAUACCCUAGUAGUC